GACGAACGCUGGCGGCGUACUUAACACAUGCAAGUCGAACGGUGAACGAGGGAGCUUGCUCCCUCCGGAUCAGUGGCGAACGGGUGAGUAACACGUGAGCAAUCUGCCUCGAACUCUGGGAUAAGCGUUGGAAACGACGUCUAAUACCGGAUACGACGCUGGAGGGCAUGCUCUACGCGUGGAAAGAACUUCGGUUCGGGAUUAGCUCGCGGCCUAUCAGCUUGUUGGUGAGGGAACGGCUCACCAAGUCGACGACGGGUCGCCGGCCUGCGAGGGUGACCAGCCACACUGCGCCUGAGACACGGCCCAGACGCCAACGGGAGGCAGCAGUGGGGAAUAUUGCACAAUGGGCGCAAGCCUGAUGCAGCAACGCCGCGUGAGGGACGACGGCCUACGGGUUGUAAACCUAUGUUAGCAGGGAAGAAGCGAAAGUGACGGUACCUGCAGAAAAAGCACCGGCUAACUACGUG
rnacentral:rRNA from 1 species